rnacentral:rRNA from 1 species
CAAUAGCGUAUAUUAAAGUUGUUGCGGUAAAAAAGCUCGUAGUUGGAUUUCUACCGAAGAUAGCCGGUCGGGUCUUCGACCUUGUAUCUGGUUUUGUCUUUGGUAUCCUCAUAGGGAACGUUUCUGCGCUUUAUUGCGUGGUGCGGUAUCUAUGACUUUUACUUUGAGGAAAUUAGAGUGUUCACGGCAGGCAAACGCCUUGAAUAUAUUAGCAUGGAAUAAUAACAUAGGAUCUUCGUCCUAUUUUGUUGGUUUCUAGGGCUAAGAUAAUGAUUAAUAGGGAUAAUUGGGGGCAUCUGUAUCAACGCGUCAGAGGUGGAAUUCUUGGAUUGCGUUGCGGCAAACUACUGCGAAAGCAUUUGCCAAGGAUGUUUUCAUUGA